rnacentral:misc_RNA from 1 species
CUUCACACAUCGCAUAUGAAUAUACAGAGAAAUUACCUCUUUAAGCAGUUAUUGACGUAAAACGAAUCAGGAAUUCAAACCGAAUUUUUCAUCUAUCACGCGCUAGGCGAUGACCGUCAACAUUUAUUACAGCCGUCAAACUAUAUAGGCCAAAGUAUGGAAAGAAAAGAGAACUGUUGUUCAUUUGAGACUUGAGAUUUCCUUUCUGAAAAAUCACAUUUCCCACCUAUAAUUAAGGUGGGCAUAGUUUGUCAACUUCCACUGAAUAGUAUGGCUUACUCAAUGUGAACUGUAGAAACAGCUGAUGCAAUUUCAUUUGUUCUUGGAUCGCAGCUUUCUAGUGAAACGCCACGAGGAUCUUCUCUAACCAACAAGGCCAGAAUAUUGAGUGAACUCCAUGCUUUUAUCACGUUGCUGCUAGAGUCCCCUAAGGUCACAGCGAAGACUGCAUCAAACCCACCUGCCCCAGGAACUCCAGCCAACAAAACUCCAUCCAUAUCCAUAGUAGUAUCCAAAAGUCGAGUCUGUGAUUCAGGCUCUAUCGGAACACCUGCAAACUCACCCAUCUGGCGCAUGUGAUUUCUGAUUUGAAGCAUGGCAUGUCUGGCUCCUAAUAACGCUUCAACAACCACUUCUCGGCUGGGUUCAGUUGCCUCCUCAAUCCACUAUUCAUGCAAUGCAUGGAUUGUUCCCAAAAUGGAUAUUAUGAAGAUAUAAAGGAAUCUCACUGGUUAUAGAAUGAUUAAAUGCUAAAUAGUACAAGCUUAAAAUGUAAAAGAUUCAAACUUGAUGGCAUGAAUCAACCAAAUAGCAGAAGUUUAUUUCACCAUUGACAAACCUGGCAGAAGUGGACAUCGUUUCAUGGCAAGGGGCAGGGUACUCAGAAGUGGCAAAGCCAGAUCUUUGAUUUUUGGGAACUGAUAAAUUAUAAUUUUAAAAUAUUUUUUAGCCUGUAAAAUAGUGGAAUUUCGAUGUUGCUAAACUUCAAACAAGUAGAAUUUCAAUUGUGAUCAAUUCUUAACAGUUAAACAUCAAAAUUUGAUGGAGAAAAGUAAAUAUUUGAGUUAAUUGGUGAUAAAGAUAUAAUAAUUAGGUGUACGCUAAGCUAUUACAAAAUUUUAUCAAGUUUUUGGAAUACUCUUUAUCAACAAUUCUAAAUACUGUGGAAAGUUUUCCAAGUUUGGGAAACCUGGUUUCCCAAAUUUGAAUGAAAAAAAACUGGAUGUUACUCCAGAAUUUCAACUUCACUAAGUAGUUUUCCAAUUUCAACUUUCCUAUAGAACAUUGAAUUGGAAAAUGGAAGUAAGGAAUAGAGAUUAAAAAAAAAAAAUGGAGUUUAUUUUUCUUCAAGUGAAAGGAUCUUUCAUCCUCCACAAUGAAGUGAUGUCUAAGCAACGAUGAAAAUCCAAUAAAAAUAAAAUUCUAGACAUUUUAGUAAUUACCAAUACACUUCUUAUGAUCUUAUCCCACACUUCAUUGCAACAUAAUUUUCAUAAGUUUAUAUAAUUUUUUUCCUAGGAUGAAAAAUAGUAUAUGAUUAGUAUUUUUUUAAUCUUACUAUCACUGUAGAUAAGAGAAAAAAGAGCCCCAGAAAUACCUUCUCUGAUUUUUUCAUGCAGCAGCUAUCUAUCACACAUUUAUAUGCAUCCCAACGUUCUUCCGCGAGCUUGCUUAAAAUACUGAAUUGUGUUUCAAGUGCUGAAUUAGCCUCUGACAACUUUCUCCAUGUUUCUUGGGACGUCUGAGGAUCAGCCUUCUGCCAUUUCUUUACAGCACCCACCAUUGAUGGUGUUGAUGAUCCUCCAGUUCCUGGCUCGCCUAGUAGCAGACUCAUCAAUGGUGGCAAGGAAAAAAUAGUCCUCUCAUGGUCCCAUUUUCCUUUUAGGAUGUUAGAAAUGACUUCCUGUAAUGGAAUUCCUUUCCCAGCAUCCUGAGCAGAGGAAAGCACUUCUGGAGAGAAGCGCACGUAUCGAUGACUGCCAUAAACUGCAGAACUAACAUCAAAUCCACUGCCGACUUUCCCUUGUGCAAUACAAUGGGCAGUUUGGGCUAUUAUAUGUACCAAAUCAAGAUCAGAAAAUUUCUUCUCUUUACAAGAGGAUGAAAGAUCAACCAAUCCAAGGUGAUGAAGUAAAGCAGCAACUACAGCAGUGGUCAUUGCUGCUGAUGAACCCAAUCCAGUUUUAGCUACCUCAGGCUUGCAGUUUUGUCCAUUUGCUUCCUCUACAUUGAAGGUGAUUGAGGAAAAAGAAGGAAGUGCAGCCAAUGAUUCUGGUGUCAAAGGGAGUCCACAUGCUUCAAUCUCAUUUCGGUAUGAAUAGAAGUCAUUGGUACCUAAUAUUGUAAUAUCAAGACCUUGCAAGAGUAGCUUGUUUAAGACAUUCUUCUUAUCUUUGUCAAGUGUUGCAUGUGCAGCUGCUACAGCAAAUUGCACUGCUUGUUCCACAAAUGGGUUCCUUGAUGCACUUGAAGAGACACACUGAAGAGCUAAAUUUUUCAGUGACAAUUUGUACAAGCUUUCCCUUGCUAGUUGGGGAGAUGUUAAUUUCACAUCAGUCCAUGCCUGAAACAUACAACGAACAGAUAAUUCAAAAAGAAUUUCAUAAUGCUGUAAAAAUAAUCUUCAAUAAAACGCACAUCAAACUGAUCUUUAAAUCUAAGACCAUCGUGAAGAUAAGUUUCAUAGACUUAUUGGACAUAUAAUACAACUUUUAAAAAGUGUUUAAAGCAUGCACUUACAUGGACAAACCAAAAAAAGAAAAAUCCAAUUCGCUUGAUGUAGUUUAAAUAUGCAAACAAAUACAAUCAAAUCACAUACUCUCAGAUAUGCAUAAAGAGAAAAUGUAGAAGAAUCAGACAGACCCAUGCCCAACUAUCAGGUUUGAUUUCAUCGUAAAUAGGCUUCACAAUGGCAUAGAAUCGAGCAUUUGUGCUGAGUACAAUCCCUGCAUUGGGUCUUUCCAAUAUAAGGUAACCCCCAGUCAUCAACACCUUACCCGGAGCAGAAGCAACUACAGCCAUUGCGUCUUUUCUCUCUCUCCGCCUCUGUUAAUUUCUGAAAUCUGCAAUCCGAUUUUUUAUUAGCUCUGUUCAAAGUGACAAAAUUUGAUAAGGCAAGUAAUGGAAGCAGAUGCGGAGAGUGAAGAUCCAGCGAAGAGGACGAAGAUCAGCUCGCACUUGUGUCUCUUUGGUCUUAACGCUAAAAAAGUCAAAACUUUUUU